AGAGUUUGAUCCUGGCUCAGGACGAACGCUGGCGGCGUGCCUAAUACAUGCAAGUAGAACGCUGAAGGAGGAGCUUGCUCUUCUGGAUGAGUUGCGAACGGGUGAGUAACGCGUAGGUAACCUGCCUGGUAGCGGGGGAUAACUAUUGGAAACGAUAGCUAAUACCGCAUAAGAGUAGAUGUUGCAUGACAUUUGCUUAAAAGGUGCAAUUGCACCACUACCAGAUGGACCUGCGUUGUAUUAGCUAGUUGGUGAGGUAACGGCUCACCAAGGCGACGAUACAUAGCCGACCUGAGAGGGUGAUCGGCCACACUGGGACUGAGACACGGCCCAGACUCCUACGGGAGGCAGCAGUAGGGAAUCUUCGGCAAUGGACGGAAGUCUGACCGAGCAACGCCGCGUGAGUGAAGAAGGUUUUCGGAUCGUAAAGCUCUGUUGUAAGAGAAGAACGAGUGUGAGAGUGGAAAGUUCACACUGUGACGGUAUCUUACCAGAAAGGGACGGCUAACUACGUGCCAGCAGCCGCGGUAAUACGUAGGUCCCGAGCGUUGUCCGGAUUUAUUGGGCGUAAAGCGAGCGCAGGCGGUUAGAUAAGUCUGAAGUUAAAGGCUGUGGCUUAACCAUAGUACGCUUUGGAAACUGUUUAACUUGAGUGCAAGAGGGGAGAGUGGAAUUCCAUGUGUAGCGGUGAAAUGCGUAGAUAUAUGGAGGAACACCAGUGGCGAAGGCGACUCUCUGGUCUGUAACUGACGCUGAGGCUCGAAAGCGUGGGUAGCAAACAGGAUUAGAUACCCUGGUAGUCCACGCCGUAAACG
rnacentral:rRNA from 1 species